AUAUUUUAUGGUAUACCACAAUUAAGCAGAAAGCAUCCAACUGAUCAGAAAAUAAGCUACAAAGAUUGUAUCAACCAAAAAUUGUUGAGGAACUUUUGUUUGGAACAGAAGUGCCCCAGUUGUUUCUAGCAAAUGGCGAAUCGAGACAAUACAAUUGAUGAAGAUUCUGGUGUUAUCUCAUGUAGGACUUGAACGAAGAAUUAUCACUCCUAAGAAUGCGCACUGAAGCAUUGAAUUGGGUCUUGACUUCAGCACAAAAGGCACAAAAGUGGAAAAAC